UCUACACAUUGGCUCCUUUACCUGCAGAAUGAGGACUUCUGUGGUAGGAAGGGCCAUGUGGGAACCACUAGAACUGCCUCUAUUUGGGAUAAAUGGUUCACAGUAAGAAUCACGGAACAAAGAGACUCUUCUAAAGGGAACAUGUGUACGAGUGACUUUUUUUCUUAACAAAAGGAAAGCUGUUUUUGCAUUUUCUAAGUAUAAGAUCUUGGCAGUUGA